CAUUGAACGCUGGCGGCAGGCCUAACACAUGCAAGUCGAGCGGAUGAAGGUAGCUUGCUAUCUUAUUCAGCGGCGGACGGGUGAGUAAUGCCUAGGAAUCUGCCUGGUAGUGGGGGACAACGUUUCGAAAGGAACGCUAAUACCGCAUACGUCCUACGGGAGAAAGUGGGGGAUCUUCGGACCUCACGCUAUCAAAUGAGCCUAGGUACGAUUAGCUAGUUGGUGAGGUAAAGGCUCACCAAGGCGACGAUCGUUAACUGGUCUGAGAGGAUGAUCAGUCACACUGGAACUGAGACACGGUCCAGACUCCUACGGGAGGCAGCAGUGGGGAAUAUUGGACAAUGGGCGAAAGCCUGAUCCAGCCAUGCCGCGUGUGUGAAGAAGGUCUUCGAGAAAAUAAAGCACUUUAAGUUGGGAGGAAGGGCAGUAAGUUAAUACCUUGCUGUUUUGACGUUACCAACAGAAUAAGCACCGGCUAACUUCGUGCCAGCAGCCGCGGUAAUACGAAGGGUGCAAGCGUUAAUCGGAAUUACUGGGCGUAAAGCGCGCGUAGGUGGUUUUGUAAGUUGGAGGUGAAAUCCCCGGGCUCAACCUGGGAACUGCCUCCAAAACUGCAUGACUAGAGUACGGUAGAGGGUGGUGGAAUUUCCUGUGUAGCGGUGAAAUGCGUAGAUAUAGGAAGGAACACCAGUGGCGAAGGCGACCACCUGGACUGAUACUGACACUGAGGUGCGAAAGCGUGGGGAGCAAACAGGAUUCGAUACCCUGGUAGUCCACGCCGUAAAC
rnacentral:rRNA from 1 species